AUACAUGCAGUCGAGCGGCUGAUGGGAGCUUGCUCCCUGAAGUCAGCGGCGGACGGGUGAGUAACACGUGGGCAACCUGCCUGUAAGACUGGGAUAACUCCGGGAAACCGGGGCUAAUACCGGAUAAUUCUUUCCCUCACAUGAGGGAAAGCUGAAAGAUGGUUUCGGCUAUCACUUACAGAUGGGCCCGCGGCGCAUUAGCUAGUUGGUGAGGUAACGGCUCACCAAGGCGACGAUGCGUAGCCGACCUGAGAGGGUGAUCGGCCACACUGGGACUGAGACACGGCCCAGACUCCUACGGGAGGCAGCAGUAGGGAAUCUUCCGCAAUGGACGAAAGUCUGACGGAGCAACGCCGCGUGAGUGAUGAAGGUUUUCGGAUCGUAAAACUCUGUUGUUAGGGAAGAACAAGUACCGGGAGUAACUGCCGGUACCUUUGACGGUACCUAAACCAAGAAAAGCCCACGGCUAACUACGUGGCCAAGGCAGCCCGCGUUAAAUUAA
rnacentral:rRNA from 2 species